rnacentral:snRNA from 1 species
AGCUUUGCACAGUGGCAGUAUCAUUGCCAGUGAGGUUUAUCUGAGGCUCGAUUAUUGCUAAUUGAAAACAGAAAAGAGCUGGCAGGGUGAGUGUUAUUAUUUUUUGAAAUCUUCUCUAAAAG